rnacentral:rRNA from 1 species
CCUACGGGAGGCAGCAGUAGGGAAUAUUUGACAAUGGGCGCAAGCCUGACCCAGCAACGCCGCGUGAAGGAAGAAGGCUUUCGGGUUGUAAACUUCUUUUCUAAGGGACGAAUCAAGUGACGGUACCUGAGGAAUAAGCCACGGCUAACUACGUGCCAGCCGCCGCCAUAAGACGGAGGUGGCAAACGUUAUCCGGAUUUACUGGGUGUAAAGUGCGUGAAGGCGGAAAAUCAAGUCAGAUGUGAAUACGAUGGGCUCAACCUGUGGCCUGCAUGUGAAACUGUUUAUCUUGAGAACGGGAGAGGCAGACGGAAUUUCUAGUGUAGGGGUGAAAUGCGUAGAUAUUAGAAGGAACACCAGUGGCGAAGGCAGUCUGCUGGGACGCAACUGACGCUGAGGCGCGAAAGCGUGGGGAGCAAACAGGAUUAGAUACCCGGGUAGUC